rnacentral:tRNA from 1 species
GCCUGGAUGGCGGAAUUGGCAGACGCGCUGGACUCAAAAUCCAGUUCUUUGAACGGAGUGAGGGUUCGACCCCCUCUCCAGGUACCA